GCGACAAUACUUCCUGUUCGGGGCUUUUGCCUUCAACAAAAAUGGUGUUUACGGUACAGGUUCCCUGACACUUUGGAGUCCGGUUGCAGUUUUUUUUUUUUUUUUUCCUUAGGAUACGUGUUUGCAGACGGAGAGAUGGAGGCUAGAGACAAGCAAGUGCUUCGCUCCCUUCGCCUCGAGCUGGGUGCAGAGGUACUGGUGGAGGGACUGGUCCUCCAGUAUCUUUACCAGGAAGGGGUCUUGACGGAAAGCCACGUUCAAGAAAUUAAAGCUCAAGCCACAGGCCUCCGGAAAACAAUGCUGCUGCUGGAUAUCCUACCUACCAGGGGUCCUAAAGCAUUCGAUGCCUUCCUAGAUUCCCUGCAAGAAUUCCCCUGGGUAAGGGAGAAACUGGAGAAGGCAAGAGAAGAAGCCAUGGUUGAGCUGCCUGCAGAUGACCGGUUGGCUGGAAUCCCCCCCCACAUCCUCCACAGCUCCCCUUCCGACCAGCAGAUCAACCAGCUGGCCCAGAGGCUGGGCCCCGAGUGGGAGCCCGUGGUGCUGUCUCUGGGGCUGUCCCAGACUGACAUCUACCGCUGUAAGGCCAACCAUCCCCACAAUGUUCAGUCCCAGAUGGUGGAGGCCUUGGUUCGCUGGAGGCAGCGCUUCGGGAAGCAGGCCACCUUCCAGAGCCUGCUCAGGGGUCUCCAGGCCGUGGACGUGGACCCCUCGGUGCUCCAGCACAUGUUGGGAUGAUGGCGCCCUGUCAGCACCUGGGGAGUCCAUCCCCUAGUCUCGUGUGCCGGAUCCUGACUCUCACCCAGUGCAGCAAGAUGCCUUCUCCACUGUGGCAUGUGAUCCACUCAGCUCCGUGUUCUCUUCCUACAAGUAUGUGUUCUGGGGGACAGUAAUAUUGUGCGUCGAUCCGAAUUUGGUGGGACGCCAUAUUUGAUCUGUGUGCAGCCGCUGGUCUACACCAUCAUUUUUAGUAGUGGCAUACUUUCCAGUAUAUGCACGUACCAUGACUUGCAGAUCACUUUCCUCUUGUGUUAAGUGGAUCUUUAAAUGGUUUUUCCUUUGUCACUAUUACAAACAGUAAUGCAAGGAAAGUCCUUGUUAAAUAUUUACAUUCCACCAGAGGUUACAAAGGCAACUGAGGCAGUAGAAUGGGUCUGUCUUCAUCCCUUUCUCUGAGGAAUUCCUCAGAAGUGGUAGUUUUAGGAAGAGACUUCCCUCAUUCAGUUAUUCAGCAGGCACUUAUCAGGAAGCUCCCGUGAGCCAGUUACUCUGCUAAGUGGCGAGGCAAAAAGAUGACCGAUACACCACAGUCCCGGUCCUCCAGAAACUCACUGUUCGGCCAGUGAGGCUGACAUGGAUCUCUAAUCACAAUAUGAGAUGAUGAGGUCCAUGCCUGGGUAGUGAGUCUGUGGGAACACAGGGGAGAAAGGAUUCACUCUGCCUUGCUUCAGAGGUGAGAGGCGUGGAGAAUACUCAUAUAAGGCUCAUCUCUUGGGCAAGUUACUCUACCUUUCUGUGCCAGUUUCUUCAUAUGUAAUGUGGGCAAUAACAGUACUGUGCUUACAGUCAGGCUCCCACAAAAUUAAAGCUUAGAACAGUGCAUGGCACAGCAAAAAUGUUUUGCUAAAUCAUUGAGUUGAAUUAUUUCAGCUAUCAGAGUUUGUCUAAUAUUCUCCACCCUACCGGGUCCCUGAGAAGCGUGAGGGUCAAAAUCACCCUUUCCUGCUGUGAUUUGCAUAUGAAAAUAGGAAGUACAUGGUCCUUCAGUACUUUUAUCAAGACUUUAAAGACAAGGAAUGUGAACUGGUAGGCACAAUUCAGAGCAUAUUCAGAAUUGGGAUGGGAUUCUGAUCUAACACCUGGCUAUCAUUAAAUGAAUCUCUACAAUCAGCAAGCUAGCAAUUUGUGUGCGCCACCAGAGGUGCAAAGAUAAAUAAGACAUAGUCCCUGCCCUGUAGGAUCUCAGCCUGUUGAGGAGACAAACACAACAGCCAGCAAUUACGAUCACUGGCCAGUAUCACAGAGGAGGGAGCAACAGAAUUGGCUACUGAGGAGGUGACACUUCAAUUGAGAUUUGUAAGUGCUGCCCAAGUUAGUAUGUCGGUCCCUUAAAGGGAAGUUAAUGCAUAUGGAUACCAGAAUUCCACUUAAUUUAUUUUACAUCCAGUGUGACAAAUGGCACUUUUCGCCAUGGGUGUACGAGAUGCCUCCAAGUUACUGUCUCAAAGCAAUCUAGAAGCUAAGAGAAUUUCAUUGAUAGACUAAGUGGCCAAUGUUAUCCCGUUCUGUACAUCAAGACAACAAGGACGUGGAGAAGCAUGUGUUUAUUUAACCACAGGGGAAUUGGGUCAGGCUUCAGGUUUUAGAUAUCAGGCAUAUGUGGGGGUUCUUUGUGCCAUCUCUAGCCCUUAGUUCUUCCUCGAAAAGUCCCACAGAUUAAAAUUAGAUGUUGCUGGCAUACAAGGAACGUUUUUAAUGUAAUAACCGCCUGUUUACUUCUUAGAGCUGUAGACAGCUUAGAAUAGGGAUGUCUAUCUUGUUGGCAUUUGCUGUUUUAUAGGAAAAUUAAAGUCUCAUAAAGACACAGUUCAUUGAGCCAGUUAAGCUUGUCUGUUAAAAUUAUGCAGAAUAUGUGGCAAUAACUCUAAAAGCUAUUAUUGAUUCAAAACAUAGACCAUGAAAUCCAGGUUUCAGUACUGAAAAAGAAAAAAGUAGACCCAACAUCUUGGUAAUACUCAUAUGUUUCCAUUUCAGUUUUACAUUCUGUCUCUAGCCAGUGCUAUUUCGGGUGUCGGAUUACACUGUUGAUGGAGAAUAUUUGUGGAAAAUAUCUGCUCUGCCAAGAUGUUUGUAUCCCCAUUGCCGCCAGAAUUCAUAUGUUGAAAUCUUAACCCUCAAAGGUGAGGGAAUUAGGAGAUGAGGCCUUUGGGAGGGAUGAGGUCAUAAGAUGGCGCCCUCAUGGAAGUGGCCCCACAGAGCCCCUUGCAGCCCGUGAGGACACAGUGAGAAGGCUCCAGCUAUGAACCAGGAGAGGACCUUCGCCAGAACGCGACCAUGUUGGCUUCUUGAUCUUGCGUUUCCCAGCCUCCAGAACUAUGAGCUGUAAGUUCUUGUUUAUAAGCUACCCAGUCUGUAGUGUUUUGUGAUAGCAGCCCUAACAGACAAUAUCAAAUGGGUUGGAUUAGGUCCUAUAACCUCCCUCUUGUCAGCUUCUAGGAGAUGAAUUGACUUAAUCAGACUUAGCUGAUACCAAGGUCCUUGGCAUGACUUAAUGGCUCAUUGUGGAUUCUGGGAGAAGACCGAGUGCCUACAAAUGAAGUAAGUAAGCCUACUCAUAGACUGGUGGUGGACUUGGUGCUCCUGGCCGUGUCAAAGCCGAGGAUGAGGGGGCUCUGCCUAGGGAAUGUUUCUUUGAAGGACCAGAAUGUCUGUAAUAGGUAGUGGUUCUUAUCCAUUCAGGGGGCAGGGAUCCCUUUAAGAAUGUGAGAAGACCGUAGAGUCAUUCUUUAGAAAAGUGCACACGCAUGCACGUGCGCACAAACACCCACACCCCAUUUGGCAUAUAAUUUUUAGGGGAUUCCCAGUACACCUGAAUCCAAGUUACUCACCCCAAGAACCCUAAGCCUAUAGGUUAUAAAGGGGCACCAGACCUCACUAGCAUCUAAGCCUGACUGAUCAUUUUUUGGCUUUGUAGGGUAUUGGGAGAGCUUGUGUCCAACAGAAUGGAGCUAAGUGUUUCUGUGGGGUUGCACAAGAAUGUAAACUCUGUUAUGAAGGACUAACGAAGGUAUUGGAAUAAAGUUGAAGCCAUUUAUCUAAACCGUGAUCUUUAUACAGCUGACCACAGAUCUUCUGCCCUAUAGGAGGGCAGGCUGGUGGACCUCUUGGACCCGCCUCUUGGAAAGGUGUCGAUCCCAGGAGCACUCUCUAAUCACCUUCCUGCCCACCCAGCUCCAUCUCAGAAUCAGCUUCCAGACGCACGCAUCCUGUGACGUGGAGGUGGUGAGCAGUGGUCAGGUUCUGAUUACAUUGUGAAGGUUUUCAAUAUUUGUUGAAAGAGUGAAUCAACAGAUACUGGGCCACAGUGUUCCUACACUCCAGGUCCAGAUCCUCAGCUGUUCCCAGGGGCAGCAGCAGAUGCUGAAACAGAACUUCCCUAGCCCUAGCCAGGGGGUCCGGCUACAGUUCUCAGCACAGGAAGAGCUUUUCCAGAACAGGUUAUACAUUAAAAUAACUGAAGACACACAUUCAAGAAAUAGAAACACAAGAGGGAACUUUGAAUCAUUUAUUCCUGCCUAUUCUUUGCAGAGAGAUAAGAAAACUGAGGCCCAAGGUUUCUCUGACUUGCCUGGCAUCACACAGCUCAAAUGGAGACCAAAUUCUGCGAUUCUGUGUCUCUUUCUGGCAUCACCCUGAAAAGGCCCCCUUCUCCUUUCCUGUAUACCAGUGGAUCUCAACCAACGGCAACUUUACCUCUCAGGGGACAUUUGGAAAUGUCUGGAGGUAUUUUUGGUUGACACAACUGGCAGAGGAGGGCACAGGUACAGGUGCUACUGGCAUCCAGUAGGCGGAAGCCAAGGAUGCUGCUAUACAUCCGACGGUGCACAGACUACUCCCGCAAAGAAGUAUCUGGCCCUAAAGGUUAAUAGUGCAGAGGCAGAAAAGCCAAGGUCGGGACUGCGCCCCACAUCAGACGAAAGUUCCAACCUCUGGGAGUUGCCAGGGCUCCUCUGCCCAGCGACAGGCUUGGCCUGUCUCCCGAGGCUGCCACAAGAGCUGAAGCCACUGUCUAGAAUGCCCUUUGGCAGCGGGCAAGUGUCCCCUGUGGAGUUUCCUGCGGGACAGGCAGUGCAUCAGCUGGAGCUGCUGUGUGUUAUAAUUUAUAGUCGCAGGACGCCUGUCUUCAUUUAGCAGCAAGCUCGCUGGCAGCUGCCCUGCCAGGGAGGAAGUGAGUCCCGCAGAGGCCCGCAGCACCCCCCACAGCUGACAGCCCGUGGUAUUUGGGGACGGCUGUUGCUCGGAGGCACCUGGGAAUAGGCCAGGGUGGAGAUGGCGCUGAGCACGUGGUCUCCCCUUCCGACCCAUCCGUCAGCAGCGGCCCCUGCCAGAAGAUGGCCUAUUGAACAUUUCCAGGAAUAGCACUGCCAAGCCUGUCAACUGCUUUCUUGGAAAUACACUCAAUAAGGAUGGCGGGCCUCCAGCAGGGAGAGCAGAAAGCCCGGCCUGGACCACGCCACUCAGAAACGGCAGGGCCUGGCUGCAGGCCCUGGCAGUGCCUUGGGGAAGAGGAGCUGUAGCUUCUGGAGUCGUUUCAAAACGUUCUCAGCGUGGAGGGGAGAUGACCACACCUUUCAGAAGGUCGGGCCCUGCUGACCUCAUGCAACCCCGUGACCUUUAAAUGCCUGCUGUGUUUGUUCAGCCACCAGCGGACUGGAAGGCUAUCCGGCUUGGAGGCCAGGUAUUAACUAGGUAUUAACUGUCAGCAGUGAUUGACCUCAGUGUCAUCUGGGGAGCCUUGGCCAUCACUCCUUCUGUUGUAAGCUUCACUCUCAAAUAGCGCCAAAGGAACAUAAGAAAGGGCGAGUAUUCCCCACUCCACCCCACCAACCCCACGCACACUGUGACUGUGGGGAUAUAGCAAAUAAGAGGCAAAGAUGUGAUAACGAGAGAAAAAUCUUAUAAGCCACCCUUCCCCUCACCCCCUGCAGAAGUAACCUUCCCCCUCACAGAGGCCUGACAUUCCUGUUGAAACUUGACCACUCGGAACUCUUUGCUCUCUGAGCUACGGCCUUCUCCAGCCUCUGGGGGGGUUGCCCAGGGGUUGCCAGGCUUGGGGAUGCCCUAAGAAGGCCAGCUGCCUUCAAAGAAAACUCCUUAAAGAUGUAGGCAUUAUAAAAAAGCAAGAAAUCAAAAACCGCUAUGUAGAGGGUUCAGGGAAUAUUGGUUCCUCACCUUUUAAAAAUAAUAAUAGCGUUAUGAAGUUUACCACAGAGCAAGUAUGGGACAUCUAUUUCAUUUCUAAAAGCCACUGAUUCACAGGACAAACAUUAUUCGAGACCCACACUGACCUACAAUUAGUUGGUGGUAGGGCUGCCAAAUACACUAUCAGAUGCCCAAGUAAAUUUAAAGUUCAGAAAAACAACAAAUAAUCUUUUUGGUAUAAGUUUAUCUACAAGUCCAAUUUACCCGGGCGCUGUGUUUUUAUUUGUUAAAUCUGGUCACUUCUAUUUGGGGGGAUAAAUUGUCCUAGUUGUUAAUAACAGGGAACAGCAAUACAGAUUCAACACAUGAAAGAUCAUAGCUGUUAGAGGAGGAAAGCAGGGAAGGAAGAGGGUAGCAAGGAAGGGGAGAGGAAGAUCAAGAAGAAAUGGAGAUAGGCAUAGUGAAGGAGAAAGAAACUAAGUGAAAGAGAAACAGGAAGUACUGAGGAAGGAUGAAAACAGGAACAUCUCAGAAAGACCUAAAAUGCUGAGACAGUUCACAGGAUGCUGUUUCCCUGGGAAAUGCCGUUUCCUUAGCUAAACACUGUUCCUGUAUCUUUUGCUGCUCUUUGUUCUAUCUGGUAAAACCCACAGUGACCACUAGGGAGUAAUGAGUCCUCAAGCUAUGAUGGCAGCAUCUAGGCCAAUAUUACCCUGGAGGCAGGUUGAAACCAAACCUAAGACUAUAUCCAACCCUAAGACCUGUUCCCCCAUCCACUCACCCUACUCACCCGCACCCACAUUGCUGUCAUCAGAGGAUUGUGGAUUUUCAAAGAAUUGGCAUCUGAACAAUAUAACGGAGCUGGUUGUCAUGAUUCUAUGGAACUUUUUUGUUGUUGACGAUGAUUCGGAAAAUCAGUAGCUUCUUUCGCCUCGGGGUGAAAGUGGUGAUGAGCAGGGCGUGCAUGCAGACAGCAGAGAUUUCCUGAGUUGUUAAUCCCCUUGUUCUCUGACCUGCAGAUAGGAGGCCAGGUUGGCCUGACCCAAAGAGAGAAGCCUUAAUAGGCUUCUAGGGGGAUGAGAGAGGCAUGCCUCCUAGGGAAAAGCUGUCAUGGUGGUGGUGGUGGGAUGGAGGGGACCCUGCUUUGGAGCCCCCCCAUCCCACAUGUAUCCUGGGGAAUGGAAAUGGGGCUGCCCUCGGUUACCUGGGCUGCGCUAUUAGAUGUGUGAUACCAGAGCAAGGGAAUAGGUCUCCCCAUAAACUCCAGUGAGGAGCAGAAGAGACUGACCAGUGGCCCACCCUAUUGUGACUCUAUUCCAGACAGCUGCUCAAGACUGUGGCCACACGGGAUGUUGUCAUUAUAACAGUAGCUAACACUCGGCAAGCAUCUCCUCUGGGCCAGGCAUGUGGGAGGUACUUUAUAAACACUAUCCCAGCUGGCCUUCAACAACUGCCUGAUGUUGUAGGGAUACUAUUACUUUUCAUAUUACUAUUUCCCUAAUUUAAGAGAGAGAGAAAUCACGACCGCAAAAAGUUAAGUUGCUGUUUCAAAGUCAACUGAUUAGUGAGUGUUCGGGCUGAGAUUUGCCUCUAGUCUGCCUAACUCCCAGCUCAGGAUUCAUCCCCGUCCCUCCCGUCAGACUGCAGAGGUCAAAUCCCAGCUCCAUUACUUACUAGCUGCAUGACCUUGGGUAAGUUAUUUAAUGUCUCUGUGCAACUGCUUCGUCAUCUAUAAAACGGGGGUAAAAAUAGUAUCUAGCCCAUGGAGUUGCUGUGAAAAUUUAAUGAGUUUGUGUCAAGCACUGAGAACCCAGUACUUUACUUCCCUUACUUCAUCCAAUCCUCUAACAAUUCUCGAAGUAGUUAAUAUUAUUAUCCUUCUUUACAUGUGAGGAAACUGAGGCCCAGAGGGCUAAUUAGCUUGGUCAAGGUCAGUAAGUGGGACAGCUGAGAUUCAAACCCAGACAGAUUGAUCCAUAGUCCAUACUUAUAGAUUCUGCCUCUGUACACUUUUAUGUGUUCAUUUCAUAGUUUCUGCCUUUUAGAACUGGGACGUUGUCAGGUGGCAUUUUUGUAGACUUACACCUGUGGACAAGGUCCAGGAUCUUCCUUAAAGCUACCGAAUACAUAUCCUUCAUAGUAGAAUUGCUCAGAAGAUUCAACUUUUCUGAAUUUGCUGUCUAUCUCUGCUUGUUGAUAAUGACUGUAGUCGUCAGGCUAGGCUAGGCUACAGUGCAGUAACAAAUAAACCCUGAAAUCUCAAUGCUGUUAUCACAACAAAGGUUUAUUUCUCCCUCACAGAAAGCCUAAGGAAGUUUCCUCUCUGCAUUGACCUUGUGGCUCCACACAGACAUGCAAGGUCACAGCCAAAUGAGACGGAAGAAGUGGAGGAGAGACUCCCAUUAACACCCAUGGUCUGGUCGUGCCUCUUCUACUCACAGUCCUUUGUGCAGGACGGUAACAUGGCCUCAACCCCUGCAAGCGAGGAGGGGAGGGGAGCACAUGGAUUUUCCCUUCCCAGAGCUGUGGUGGUCUCUACCUCCAUGAAUAAACCCAGCUCCUAGCCUCAAGUUAAGAACAACUGCUAGCAACUUUAUUAACCAGGUUGUGAGAACCCCUUUCUUAUUAAUUAUAGUCAUGUGUUUACUUGAAUUGAAACCUCUUCAUUUGUUCACUCAAUAAAUAUUUAUUGAGUGUUCCCUCUCUACCAGUAUUUUUAGGCCCCCAGGAAUAUAUCAGUAAAUGAAACAGAAUAAAGCCACUACUUUUGUAGAACUAGCAUUCCAGUGGGGAAUGAGAGAGGAUAGACACUUAACCCAAAAAUUAAGAAAGUGGUAUAAUAUAUUAGGUGUUGGUAUGUGCAAGGGAGAAAGAUAAAACACGGAAGAGGGGAUCAAGGUGUGAGUGUGUGUAUGUGUGCAUUGAGGGGAUGAUUUUAAAUAGGGGGGCUAGGGAAGGCCUUCCUGAGAAGGUAACAUUUGAGCAGACAUCCAAAGAAUGCAAAGGGCUCUGGGGUGAAAGCAUUCUAAGAAGAGGAAGUAACUGGCGCAAAGGCCCUGAGGCAGGGGACUGCCUGACGUGUCAGAGGACAGCCGUGUGGCUGAGACGGACGGAGAGCAGUAGAAGA